AAUAGGGUUUGGGACUGCUAGGCUAUAAACUAAAUGGUUCAGGCUUAGGUUUAGCAUAGGUUUAGGCAUAGGUUUAGGUUUAGGUUAGGCUUAGGCAUAGGCUUAGGCUUAGGUUUAGGCUUAGGCCUAGGCUUAGGCCUAGGAUUAGGCCUAGGCUUAGGCCUAGGAUUAGGCCUAGGCUUAGGCCUAGGAUUAGGCCUAGGCUUAGGCUUAGGCCUAGGAUUAGGCUUAGGUUUAGCAUAGGUUUAGGCAUAGGUUAGGUUUAGGCUUAGGCUUAGGCUUAGGUUUAGGCUUAGGCCUAGGCUUAGGCCUAGGCUUAGGCUUAGGCCUAGGAUUAGGCUUAGGUUUGGUUUUUGGCUUAGCCUUAGGCUUUGGCUUAG
ensembl:ncRNA W08F4.16 ncRNA